UACGUAGGGUGCAAGCGUUGUCCGGAAUUACUGGGCGUAAAGAGUGUGUAGGCGGUGCUCCAAGUCUGGUGUGAAAUCUCCCGGCUUAACUGGGAGGGUGCAUUAGAAACUGGAAUGCUAGAGGAUGGGAGAGGUAAGCGGAAUUCCUGGUGUAGCGGUGAAAUGCGUAGAUAUCAGGAGGAACACCUGUGGUGUAGACAGCUUACUGGACCAUUUCUGACGCUGAGACACGAAAGCGUGGGUAGCAAACAGG
rnacentral:rRNA from 1 species